UACGAAGGGGGGCUAGCGUUGCUCGGAAUCACUGGGCGUAAAGCGCACGUAGGCGGCUUUUUAAGUCAGGGGUGAAAUCCUGGAGCUCAACUCCAGAACUGCCUUUGAUACUGAGAAGCUUGAGUUCGGGAGAGGUGAGUGGAAUUCCUAGUGUAGAGGUGAAAUUCGUAGAUAUUCGCAAGAACACCAGUGGCGAAGGCGGCUCACUGGCCCGAUACUGACGCUGAGACGCGAAAGCGUGGGGAGCAAACAG
rnacentral:rRNA from 1 species